rnacentral:lncRNA from 1 species
GAAAAUCCAAACUAUUUCUAUAGUCGAAAGCAUGCUGGACUUCCCACCACCCAAUAUCUUGUUGUCGAUUUAAUGUCGAGCAAUAACCAUCAAAGUGAUUAAAUCGAACGGCCUUCAAAAAUUCAACUCCAUACCCAAACUUAUUACAUUUAACAAUUUCAUCAUUACAGAAUUAUAAUAAAAAUCCAUGCACAUCACACGAUCAAACUAAUUCAGCUUUAAACUCAACAAUUCCAUAGCUAUAAUCAGAUCGCAGUGAAGACGGAGACGACCAAACCGUAGAAGAAAACAAAUGCAACCCCCCAAGAGCCGGCGACAAAAUCAGGUCGGUGUUUGGACCCACCGGAGCUCCCUCCUGGGAGCGGCGUCGCUGAUGUCGAUGUAGCCGGCGUCGCCGUCGCCGUAGAAGCGUUGGUGAAUAUGGCUGCCUCCGGCGAGUUUGGAGCUAAGCCAAGGAGUCCUGUUACACCCAAAAAAGAAAUAUUAAGUACUAAUUAAAACCUCGUCCGGACCACAACCGAAUCACCCAACCCACCUCCAAGCCAAAUUAGUAUAAAUUUCCAUAUCUCAUCUAAGUCCACUUUUCUUACAUAUACAUUGACUCGGUGCAUUUCUACUCGGUUCUAUCGACUUUUCUCGACGAACCUGGGCAGUAGCUAACGCUGGCGUUGGCGAGCUGGCAAGUGGAAGGGAGCUGAAUCAACUUAGCCUCCUGCACGCCGAGGCUCCUGAACUGAGAACCACCGUUGUGAGUCUGCAUCAUGAUGUAACAUAAGCACUUGGGCUUGUUCUCCUUGGUGGCUUUGGUGUUGUCACAGCACUCUUUGGAAGGUGAAGCUUGCUUGCCUUGUGCAAACGCCAAGCAUGGCAUCACCCCUUGGAUCUCCUUGCUGCAGUCCUUCGC